UGGGGAAUAUUGGACAAUGGGCGAAAGCCUGAUCCAGCCAUGCCGCGUGUGUGAAGAAGGUCUUCGGAUUGUAAAGCACUUUAAGUUGGGAGGAAGAGCAGUUACCUAAUACGUGAUUGUUUUGACGUUACCGACAGAAUAAGCACCGGCUAACUCUGUGCCAGCAGCCGCGGUAAUACAGAGGGUGCAAGCGUUAAUCGGAAUUACUGGGCGUAAAGCGCGCGUAGGUGGUUUGUUAAGUUGGAUGUGAAAUCCCCGGGCUCAACCUGGGAACUGCAUUCAAAACUGACUGACUAGAGUAUGGUAGAGGGUGGUGGAAUUUCCUGUGUAGCGGUGAAAUGCGUAGAUAUAGGAAGGAACACCAGUGGCGAAGGCGACCACCUGGACCAAUACUGACACUGAGGUGCGAAAAGCGUGGGGAGCAAAACAGGAUUAGAUACCCUGGUAGUCCACGCCGUAAACGAUGUCAACUAGCCGUUGGGAGCCUUGAGCUCUUAGUGGCGCAGCUAACGCAUUAAGUUGACCGCCUGGGGGAGUACGGCCGCAAGUUAAAAACUCAAAUGAAUUGAC
rnacentral:rRNA from 1 species